AUUGAACGCUGGCGGCAUGCCUUACACAUGCAAGUCGAACGGCAGCAUGGAAGAGCUUGCUCUUCUGAUGGCGAGUGGCGAACGGGUGAGUAAAGCAUCGGAACGUACCGUGUAGUGGGGGAUAACGUAGCGAAAGUUACGCUAAUACCGCAUACGCACUGAGGUGGAAAGCAGGGGAUCGCAAGACCUUGCGCUAUACGAGCGGCCGAUGUCAGAUUAGCUAGUUGGUAGGGUAAAGGCCUACCAAGGCGACGAUCUGUAGCGGGUCUGAGAGGAUGAUCCGCCACACUGGGACUGAGACACGGCCCCAGGACUCCUACGGAGGCAGCAGUGGGGAAUUUUGGACAAUGGGCGAAAGCCUGAUCCAGCCAUGCCGCGUGAGUGAAGAAGGCCU
rnacentral:rRNA from 1 species